UUGCAGGUGAUUACUCAUGCACAACAGAGGUCCAGCAAACAAUUCAUGUUUUGAAGAAAGCAUAUGGUGACAGCAUGCAUAAGAACUCUUCGCUUUUCAUUUGUACUAGUAGAUUUUGAAAAUCAUGUGAAUUUGGAUAUUGAAGCCUUCAUGGAGCAAGAGAUCAUUUAGCCAACCAAGAAAUGUUGAAAUGAAGUCUCGUGGUGAAGGUGGCAAAAUUAUGCCUAUGGGUUUAGAGCGUCACCAUUGAAAAAUGACAGUAGCAUUACAACAUUGGCAGUAGCUUUAUACAAUUAUUGUAAUAGAUUUUCAUAACUAUGGCAGUGGUUUUUGACAACUAUGGAAGUUGCUUUUCACUUAGUUAUAUUACUAUUGAACCAUGCAUACUUUUUAUACCAUUGAAUAUGUUUUCUUUUCU